AUUGAACGCUGGCGGCAGGCUUAACACAUGCAAGUCGAGCGAGCGGCGGACGGGUGAGUAAUGUCUGGGAAACUGCCUGAUGGAGGGGGAUAACUACUGGAAAAGGUAGAUAAUACCGCAUACCAUCAGAUGUGCCCAGACGGGAUUAGCUAGUAGGGGGGGUAAUGGCUCACCUAGGCGACGAUCCAUAGCUGGUCGGAGAGGGUGACCGGCCACACUGGAACUGAGACACGGCCCAGACGCCUACGGGAGGCAGCAGUGGGGAAUAUUGGGCAAUGGGCGAAAGCCUGAUGCAGCCAUGCCGCGUGUGUGAAGAAGGCCUUCGGGUUGUAAAGCGCUGUCAGCGAGGAAGCGUUACUCGAAGAGGAAGCACCGGCUAACUACGUGCCAGCAGCCGCGGUAAUAC
rnacentral:rRNA from 1 species